GGGGCCUUAGCUCAGCUGGGAGAGCGCCUGCUUUGCACGCAGGAGGUCAGCGGUUCGAU
rnacentral:tRNA from 1 species